rnacentral:rRNA from 1 species
GACGAACGCUGGCGGCGUGCCUAAUACAUGCAAGUAGAACGCUGAAGCUUGGUGCUUGCACCGAGCGGAUGAGUUGCGAACGGGUGAGUAACGCGUAGGUAACCUGCCUGGUAGCGGGGGAUAACUAUUGGAAACGAUAGCUAAUACCGCAUAAUAGUAGAUGUUGCAUGACAUUUGCUUAAAAGGUGCAAUUGCAUCACUACCAGAUGGACCUGCGUUGUAUUAGCUAGUUGGUGAGGUAACGGCUCACCAAGGCAACGAUACAUAGCCGACCUGAGAGGGUGGUCGGCCACACUGGGACUGGGACACGGCCCAGACUCCUACGGGAGGCAGCAGUAGGGAAUCUUCGGCAAUGGACGGAAGUCUGACCGAGCAACGCCGCGUGAGUGAAGAAGGUUUUCGGAUCGUAAAGCUCUGUUGUAAGAGAAGAACGAGUGUGAGAGUGGAAAGUUCACACUGUGACGGUAUCUUACCAGAAAGGGACGGCUAACUACGUG